GUGCCCCCUGCAGUGGAAGUGCAGAGUCCUAACCACUGGAUCGCCAGGGAAUUCCCUUUUUUGUCUUUCUUGACACUGUCAUUUUGACGGGCUUACAUAUUUAAGAAAUGUAUAAAUGGCUGAAAAUCUACGAAAGAACUCUAAAAAUCUUUGGAAAAAUGCUAACGAAACACGAGAAGAAAAAGGCAUUCCUGGCUGAUUGAAAACAAGGCAGCAAUUUUCGACUUCCC